rnacentral:lncRNA from 1 species
CCUCUAGGCCUGAACUUGGCUGACCCUCGCGGCUUCCGCCUUGCUCCUCCAGGACCACCAUCCUAAGGGAGGCGGGUAGGCCCACCGGCCUCCUGGAGGACCCCCGGGUCCUUGGGCUGGCAGGGUCCCUCAGCUGGAGGGGUGCUAAGGGGCAGAAGCGAAGUGAAGAAGGGGCUGGGUGUCACAGGAGUGAUUGGAGUAGAGAAAGGGUCCUGGCUACAGUUCUUGUGACCAAUGCCUGAGGAUGACCUCUUGGGUCCAUCGCAGCCCCACAAGGAGUCCCCUCAAAGGAUGGUUCAUCCUGAGGCCAGCCUCCCCGAGGCCAGCCUCCCAGCCCAGAGCUAUCUGGACGCCCUGCAGCAGCUCCAGCAGCAGUUCCCCAGGUGCGGGCAGUUCUGGGGGAGGG